ACUUCUCAUUUUUCGUUUGUGCACUUUGAGGAACCGAAAGGUUCCAUUUUGUUUCUGAAAUUUUUGUUCGGUAGCAGAACAAAAUUGUUUAUAUUGUUGAAAAAAAUGUUUAUUUUAUUGAAAUUAAAGACACUUUAGCGUCUUUAAUUGAAAAAACUAAUAGUAGUGCGUUCUUCAAAGCCCUUUGUGGUAUUUUCUGAAAAAUGGAUCGAGAUCGUAUAUUUGCGUCGGAUCCGGUUUUACACCAAUUCUUCCACCCGAGAAAAAGGAAUCCGCAGACAAUAGUGCACAUGAGAAUUUGUAGCGCAUCAGCUAUUCCCGUUCAGGCGACUUAAAACCGUAAAACUACGCACAAGCUUCCGGACAAGGAUUCAGAAUUGGAGGAAGGUAAACCAGACACUGAUGAUGAUCCACUACCUGCCAAACAACCUGUGGUCGCCCAAAAACCCAGUAACUCAGGAAGAGGUCGUAGAUGACGGUGAAACGCAAGAAACCGACAACAGUAAACUGACGAUGGAAAGCGGAUACAUCCUAGGCGGCCGUAACGUUCAUUGGGCUGACAAUCCCGCGACAAGCUCGUUGAUGGUACGUGGGCUAUAUUUCGUUCGAUGUCACCCAGCAGUUUAACGAGUACCCGCCCGGUUCUGGCCUGUCAAAUCGAUCUGAAGCAAUGGCAUUCGAUAACAUCAACUUCAAGGGGCAAAGUUUGAAGAUUAGACCGCACGAUUACCAGCUCAUCUCUGCAGGGAUGUCAUGGCAUGACCCACUCCGCUCUGUCAGCCUUACCACCAUCGUUCUGGAUGUUCCGCUAUUCAGCUGCUGUCUGCUAGCCAGGCGUUGUUCGAACCGCUUCUCAUCGCAGAACAGAACCAAUCGGGUUUUAUGAGGUCGAGGCAAGGACAUCAAUCAACAUAUUUGCGUUUUUGGCAUGGCACUCAAACUGAGAACCAGCGGUUAUUAUUUGACCGCUGUGCCAGUGGAAUGCAACGGCACUUGCAUCUGAAGUUUGAAAGACUAUCGACUUUUGUGCUGUGAUCUGCGUGUUUCAAGUGAGAAGAUGCUCACAUGUCACCAUGCCAUUUCACCGGAUCGGCUUCCGUGUUUACGAUUACUCGCGAACCCCCGGCCAUCCCAGGUAAUUGCCGCGGAUAGACCGGACAGUGCAACGAAUCAUACGGACUGAUACUAGCGGCUCCUAUUAAAUCGACGUGCAAUGCCACCGGUCUAUGAGUGAUGGUCACCGGCAGUGAAUCCAAUCUAAAAAUCUGCUGUAUUGGAAUAACCCGAUCUGUGGACAUAAAAUAAAUUUUCUUUAGGAACUGUGAAAUAGAUAACAAAAAAUAAGAAUAAA